AACUGUUCUUCUUCGUUUCCCAUUUGCAUCUCCUUGGCGUUUCCAGUUUCUUCCAUGUGAACUUAGAAAUCCUCUCGCAUGUUUUUUUCUCUAAGCUCGUCGGUUCCUUCUCACUCUUCAAAGAAUUAGUUCAUCUUCAUUUUCCAGAUCGGCGUUUUCCGGAACUCCCUAAUCCGCUGUUACAAUCUGUUGUUCAUUGAAGGUUACAUGGAGGUGGUAAUGAACGAUUUAAAGUCCAUCGACUCGGUUGAUGUUGAUUGUAUUCCAAUCUCUGCAUUAGUGAUUCGAUUUCAGGAAUCACUAUUGAAUGACGUCCAUAUCCAGAGGGAAGUGCUGCUGCAACCACUUUGUGCAGUAAGGGUGUCCUCCUAUCCUCCUUGUCCAUCUCCUUCGAGAUCUUUAAAAACUGGACUGGUUUUAGUUCAAGUUGGUCCUGUUCGACCUACUCUCCAUUAUUUUUAGUGCAUGUCUGUAUAGAAAUUGUCUAAGCCUGUGGAUUCUAACGAAAUGGUGAUGACACCAUAGGACCCAUUGCUUAGGAUGUCAGAAUAUUCAAUGAUAUAAAACAACACGAGCUUCUGCAGCAAACAAAGGAAGGCCUUGAUUAAUGAGGAGGGAGUUACUGCCGUAGAAAUUAAGCUUUUUCUCUAUUUCUAGCCACAGCAGCAGCAAAAUAAGGUGGAUUCGCAGCACCAUCAGCAUUGAUCAUGAUAAUAUUCGGUGGCGGUGAGUUCCAGAAUGGAGGACUCGUUUGCACAUGAAGCUGGUUGCUGGUGACCAGCGAGAAUCUCACUGCAAUAAAUGUUAGCCCAGAAAUUUGCUUGCUGCUGGGUGGUUUCAAUUUUGGGCUUGGUUUUUUGAAGGGCAGGUACUGUUUCUUGGUUUCCAUAAACUCCAUAGAACUCGGAUGCUUAAGGAUCUUCCAUGAUCUUGUAUGUGAAGUCAUUGAGCUAUAACUCCUGUUAUGGAUGCUGCUGAAUCUCUGACACGUGCAAGUAUUACAGCUUGAGAUGCCUUGACGGUUCCGCCAGGCUACCGCACAUCUUCUGCUUAAAGAUGAAGGUCUACAUGUUCAGGGAUGCUAAGUAUUGCUGUGACCUGUAAAGAAGACUUGCAUUAGUGUAGACCAGUGUAUGUUUUUAUAUGCUUCCAACUGGAAUCCCUAUAUAUGGAACCAGAGAAGUUAGUGGACAGCUUGAACGGAUGGGAAAGAGAGCAAGUUAGACAACUGAAGGUGUUGUGUCUCAUUGCUUUAACCUGAAUGGAAACUACUGAAUAUGAGGUAGCCAAGUUUCUGUUGUUCAAUCUCUUUUAGAAGAACUUGUUGGGCAAUUCCUGGUGUAUACGUGAAGCGAAGAUAUCAAGCCGCUUUCCGUUAAUGGAUUCCAAACUUCUGGCAUUAGUGUUGAGGGGCCUCAAGUUCCAUAUUUUGUGAAAGAAAAUCGUCUACUACUUCAGGACGGAUAAAUAGCAUACUUAUCGGUAACAAUUACCGCUCCUUAAUCUUCUUCUUCAUAAUAAGUAACGGCAAUGUUGAAAACAAGAUGCUGUGUGACUCAUCUGUCGUAUAGAAUGAAAAUUUUCUAUGGUUGUGAAUAUAUGUAUUUGAUUGCAGCAAUAAAUGUGGAAAAAGUAUGUGUAAAUGAUGAUUGCUGGAGGCAUAAUACAGCAGUGGUUUCAAUGUAACAGUUCAUUUUAUGUUGAAAUUUGUAA